ACUUGUCAUACGGGGAGCUCGGACCAUCCGAGUUGAGAGGACUGAAUCCAAUUUUGGAGGGCAGUUGACCCGAAUACCUGAUCUGGAUAAUGCCAGCGGAGGAAUAGUGAAAAGGUACUUAA
rnacentral:ncRNA from 2 species